UACGUAGGUGGCAAGCGUUGUCCGGAUUUAUUGGGUUUAAAGGGUGCGUAGGCGGUCUUAUAAGUCAGUGGUGAAAUACGGCAGCUCAACUGUCGAGGUGCCAUUGAUACUGUAGGACUUGAGUACAGACGAGGUAGGCGGAAUUGACGGUGUAGCGGUGAAAUGCUUAGAUAUCGUCAAGAACACCGAUAGCGAAGGCAGCUUACUAGGCUGUAACUGACGCUGAGGCACGAAAGUGUGGGGAGCAAACAGG
rnacentral:rRNA from 1 species